rnacentral:rRNA from 1 species
GCUUAACACAUGCAAGUCGAAGCGGGGAUUGUUGCUUCGGUGACAUUCCUAGCGGCGGACGGGUGAGUAAUGCUUAGGAAUCUGCCUAUUAGUGGGGGACAACAUUCCGAAAGGAAUGCUAAUACCGCAUACGCCCUACGGGGGAAAGCAGGGGAUCUUCGGACCUUGCGCUAAUAGAUGAGCCUAAGUCGGAUUAGCUAGUUGGUGGGGUAAAGGCCUACCAAGGCGACGAUCUGUAGCGGGUCUGAGAGGAUGAUCCGCCACACUGGGACUGAGACACGGCCCAGACUCCUACGGGAGGCAGCAGUGGGGAAUAUUGGACAAUGGGGGGAACCCUGAUCCAGCCAUGCCGCGUGUGUGAAGAAGGCCUUUUGGUUGUAAAGCACUUUAAGCGGGGAGGAGGCUCUUGAGGAUAAUACCCUUGAAGAGUGGACGUUACCCGCAGAAUAAGCACCGGCUAACUCUGUGCCAGCAGCCGCGGUAAUACAGAGGGUGCGAGCGUUAAUCGGAUUUACUGGGCGUAAAGCGUGCGUAGGCGGCUUUUUAAGUCGGAUGUGAAAUCCCCGAGCUUAACUUGGGAAUUGCAUUCGAUACUGGGAAGCUAGAGUAUGGGAGAGGAUGGUAGAAUUCCAGGUGUAGCGGUGAAAUGCGUAGAGAUCUGGAGGAAUACCGAUGGCGAAGGCAGCCAUCUGGCCUAAUACUGACGCUGAGGUACGAAAGCAUGGGGAGCAAACAGGAUUAGAUACCCUGGUAGUCCAUGCCGUAAACGAUGUCUACUAGCCGUUGGGUCCUUUGAGGACUUAGUGGCGCAGCUAACGCGAUAAGUAGACCGCCUGGGGAGUACGGUCGCAAGACUAAAACUCAAAUGAAUUGACGGGGGCCCGCACAAGCGGUGGAGCAUGUGGUUUAAUUCGAUGCAACGCGAAGAACCUUACCUGGCCUUGACAUACUAGAAACUUUCCAGAGAUGGAUUGGUGCCUUCGGGAAUCUAGAUACAGGUGCUGCAUGGCUGUCGUCAGCUCGUGUCGUGAGAUGUUGGGUUAAGUCCCGCAACGAGCGCAACCCUUUUCCUUACUUGCCAGCAUUUCGGAUGGGAACUUUAAGGAUACUGCCAGUGACAAACUGGAGGAAGGCGGGGACGACGUCAAGUCAUCAUGGCCCUUACGGCCAGGGCUA